GAUGAACGCUGACAGAAUGCUUAACACAUGCAAGUCUUUGGCGAAGCUGUGCUCGCACAGCCUAGCCAAGGCGGACGGGUGAGUAACGCGUAAGGAACUUGCCCUGCAGUCAGGGAUAACAGACGGAAACGACUGAUAAGACCUGGUAAAGUCAGGCGGACUCAUGUCCAGCCUGAUGAAAAGAGAUGCUGCAGGAGAGCCUUGCGUCCUAUUAGCUUGUUGGUGGGGUAACGGCCCACCAAGGCGAUGAUAGGUAGCCGGCCUGAGAGGGUGGACGGCCACAAGGGGACUGAGAUACGGCCCUUACUCCUACGGGAGGCAGCAGUGGGGAAUAUUGGACGAUGGGGGCAACCCUGAUCCAGCAAUUCUGUGUGCACGAUGAAGGUUUUCGGAUUGUAAAGUGCUUUCAGCAGGGAAGAAAAAAAUGACGGUACCUGCAGAAGAAGCGACGGCUAAAUACGUG
rnacentral:rRNA from 1 species